CCUACGGGAGGCAGCAGUGGGGAAUAUUGCGCAAUGGGCGAAAGCCUGACGCAGCGACGCCGCGUGAGGGAUGAAGGUCUUCGGAUCGUAAACCUCUGUCAGCAGGGAAGAACGGUCACUGUGCUAAUCAGCAGUGAAUUGACGGUACCUGCAAAGGAAGCACCGGCUAACUCCGUGCCAGCAGCCGCGGUAAUACGGAGGGUGCGAGCGUUAAUCGGAAUUACUGGGCGUAAAGCGCUCGUAGGCGGUAUGUCAAGUCAAGGGUGAAAGCCCCGCGCUCAACUUGGGAACUGCCUUUGAAACUGGCCACCUGGAGUGUGUGAGCGGCUAGUGGAAUUCCAGGUGUAGUCGU
rnacentral:rRNA from 1 species